AGUGAACGCUGGCGGUAGGCCUAACACAUGCAAGUCGAACGGCAGCACAGUAAGAGCUUGCUCUUACGGGUGGCGAGUGGCGGACGGGUGAGGAAUACAUCGGAAUCUACUUUUUCGUGGGGGAUAACGUAGGGAAACUUACGCUAAUACCGCAUACGACCUACGGGUGAAAGCAGGGGAUCUUCGGACCUUGCGCGAUUGAAUGAGCCGAUGUCGGAUUAGCUAGUUGGCGGGGUAAAGGCCCACCAAGGCGACGAUCCGUAGCUGGCCUGAGAGGAUGAUCAGCCACAUUGGAGAGGAUACACGGCCAAACUUCCACCGGGAGGCAGCAGUGGGGAAUAUGGGACAAAGGGGGCAGGCAUAUUCCGCCCUAGCCGCGUGGGUGAAGAAGCCCUUCGGUUUGUAAGGCCCUUUGUUUGGGAAAGAAAACCACCAGUUUAGUACCCGGCUGUUUGACGGUAACCCAAGAAUAAGCCACGGCUAACUUUGUG
rnacentral:rRNA from 1 species